rnacentral:rRNA from 1 species
UAGGCGUAAAUGAUGCGAGUUAAGUGUGGGGGCAUCUACGAGAUGGCCCUGUGCUGUAGGGUAGCCGUUAAACUCGCUGCCUGGGGAGUACGGUCGCAAGGCUGAAACUUAAAGGAAUUGGGCGGGGGAGCACCACAACGGGUGGAGCUUGCGGUUUAAUUGGAUUCAACGCCGGAAAUCUUACCGGGACCGACAGCAACAUGAAGGCCAGGCUGAAGACUUUGCCGGAUUAGCUGAGAGGAGGUGCAUGGCGUCAGUGACU